rnacentral:rRNA from 1 species
UACGAAGGGGGCGAGCGUUGUUCGGAAUUACUGGGCGUAAAGGGCGCGCAGGCGGCUCUGAAAGUCAGAUGUGAAAGCCCCGGGCUUAACCUGGGAAUUGCAUUUGAUACUCUGGAGCUUGAGUACGGGAGAGGAUAGUGGAAUUCCCAGUGUAGAGGUGAAACUCGUAGAUAUUGGGAAGAACACCGGUGGCGAAGGCGGCUAUCUGGACCGUAACUGACGCUGAGGCGCGAAAGCGUGGGGAGCAAACAGG